GUCCCCGUCGUCUAGUGGUCUAGGACACCGGGUUUUCAUCCCGGCAACAGGGGUUCGAUCCCCCUCGGGGAUG
rnacentral:tRNA from 1 species